UUCUCUAUCAAAAUCAUAGGGUUUUGUUUUAUAUCAUGUGCCAAACGCUGAUUGUCAAGUAAAGUGAAAAAAAGUGAAAAAUUCAAAUUGUCAUAGCCAAACAGGUCCUUAGUGUUUUUUUCGAAAAUAGUUUUGUCGAAUCGUCGUGUUGUUUAUAUGCCUGCUUGAUUUGUUCGACUUUCUAUAUAGCUGCAGUUAUCAUGCUUUUGAUCAUAUGUUUCAGUUGUUGUGUUUGUGUUUAUGGCCAAAUGUGUUUUUUUUUUUCUUCAAAAAGUGGUUAUUUGAAA